rnacentral:pre_miRNA from 1 species
GACAUACUCCCUCCGUCCGGAAAUACUUGUCAUAGGAAUGGAUGUAUCUAGAUGUAUUUUAGUUCCAGAUACAUCCAUUUUAUACAUUUGUGCGACAAGUAAUUCCGGAAGGAGGGAGUACUUC